rfam:Gossypium hirsutum cultivar TM-1 unplaced genomic scaffold scaffold458.1, whole genome shotgun sequence
AGCUGCGCUGUGAGCACAUAGCGAACUAUUCUUUCGCCUUUUACUAAAGAAUACCGUGUGCUCGCAGCUUAAGGCAGUAUACGCCUAUUUUUGGAGGUUUAAUUCCUUUAUUGGAAU